UCUGGAGACCAGUACUGAGACCACAACCUGAGAACUAGAGCAGACAACUUUAAACACUUCCUCACUUGUUUCCUCAAGCUUAAAUGUACUGAAUGCUGUUGAUCUGGAUCCUAUUGAUGUAGAUUAUAAUCAUACUAAAGAGAUUGCAGAUUUCUCUCAUGCCUAUUAUGUGCCUGAGUAUGGUUAUAAUUCAGACUUGGUUCAACCUGAGACUUGCACACACACCCCGCCCCAUUCAGAAUGUUAUAGUUACUAUCAGACACUGGACCAUUCACAACAGGGAACAAUUCUUGGAUUUCUGAAUAUGCUUUCUUCUGAGCUGCAUAGAAUUACAUAUGGGCAGCCAUCAAGCAGUUCAGCCAACCCAUCCAGCAGUAUAAACUUAAAUGGAAAGGAUUUUUCAGUAGAACAACAUGGAAUCAAUCAGACAAUCCACAAUCAACAGAAGAA